CCUACGGGUGGCAGCAGUGAGGAAUAUUGGUCAAUGGCCGCAAGCCUGAACCAGCCAAGCCGCGUGAGGGAUGACGGCUCUCUGGAUUGUAAACUGCUUUUGUCAGGGAGUAAAGGACGCCACGUGUUGCUGUUUGAGAGUACCUUAAGAAAAAGCAUCGGCUAACUCCGUUCCAGCAGCCGCGGUAAUACGGAGGAUUCACGCGUUAUCCGGAUUUAUUGGGGUUAAAGGGUGGGCAGGCGGGCAGUUAAGUUAGGGGGGAAAGGCCGGGGCUCAACCCCGGAAGUGCCUGUGAAACUGGUGAGCUUGAGUGUAGGAGAGGUAAGCGGAAUGCGUGGUGUAGCGGUGAAAUGCGUAGAUAUCAGGCAGAACACCGAUUGCGAAGGCAGCUUACCGGACUACAACUGACGUUGAGGCACGAAAGCGUGGGGAGCAAACAGGAUUAGAUACCCUGGUAGUC
rnacentral:rRNA from 1 species